AGGAGACCGGGUGCCACCUCCCAGCGAGCAGGGCCGAGACUCCCGGGGGGGACCCUGAUCCAGCCCGAAGGCCCAGAAGGGAGGCGAGCUUGUGGGCCGGCCCCCAUCCGUCCCGUGUCUCGCUAGUUAGGCCAGCAGCAAGCAGCUGCACCUGUGUGUGCGUGCGAGUGCCCAUGCGUGUCUGCGUGUGUACGCACACGUGUGCCCGAGUCUGUGUGUAAGUGUGAGCGCAGUAAGUAGAAGAGGAACAGAGAACACAGGCUGAGGCUGGCAGCUGCCAACUUCCCCAAUCCCAGGGACGAGGCGAGAGCCUGGGUGUCCCCGGGCCUCCACCCCAGAGCCUAGGGGCUGGCCGGGGCCUGGAGCUGGUCCAGGAAGGAGCUAAUGAUCAACCCGCCUCUCGCCACUGGCCCCAGGCGCAGGGAGGAAGUGGGGCAGGAAGCAGGGGGUGGUGGCCACCGCUGAGCAGUCGGCCUGGCCGGGCCGCUGCCGUCUGCCUUGGCCGGUGAGGCAGCCAGUAGGGCCGGCCAGGGAGGAGCUGGGAGCAGCCACCGGCGCCUGCUGUCCUGUGGCCGCCGGCCCAGAAGCUGCCUCUGAAGAUCGAGCACAGACGCCAGCCCAGCAUGUCCAGUCCGCGGUGCUGAGGCCACCGCUGCUCAUGGGGGACCCAGUGGAGGCGGCCGCGGAGGAGCUGACCCAGAUGGAGCGGGUGCCUGCGGGGCCCUCAGGUGGCAGUGGCAACAGGGUCCAGAGAGUGGCCGCCAGCUCGUCGGUCGGCUGGGAGCGAGCGGGACGCGAGGAGGCCACGGCUCCGGGCAGAGGCCACGAUGGUGCUCUCACCCCUGGCGUCCCCCGGCGGGCCUCGGGGACCCUUCCCGGCCAGAUGGGAGCGUACCCCACAGGUAGACAUCCUCUGGACUGGGGGCAUGGUGCGGGACCCCUGGGCAUCGCCUCUUCCCUCCGUGGGGUGGGAGGGGACUUGUUAAAUGCAGGUGCCCAGGUCCUGUGCCCAGUCUGAUCCCGCCUGCCUGGGGCAGGGCCCAGGACUCUGCGUCUCCACAGGGGGUGGGGUGCGUUCACCCUGGGUUCACCCGCGUUUGCCGAGGGCCUCCCCGGACUUUACGUUUGCUUCCACUCGAAGAGGGGGACAUGCCCAAAGGCCACACGCAGGGGAAGUGAUACUCUGGGGUGGGGUCACAGGUGGGACAUGGUAAGAACUAGACUAAAGAGCUGGUUCUGGGGCGAGUUGAGGCUUCUGUGGGGUGCAUGCU